rnacentral:tRNA from 1 species
GCGUCCUUAGUCUUAAUUGGUAAAACAACGGAUUCCAAAUCCGUAAGAUGGUGGUUCGAGUCCACCAGGGCGUGCCA